AUAUUCUGUGCCAGAAGAGAAAUUAUGCUGUGCAAAUGGCUCAGAUGUACACAGGGGUACACAGAAUGAUGGCUACAGCUGAUCAGGAGGUAUCAAGUAAAGAAAGUGGUAGAAAACUGCUGGCAAGAUUAUGGACAGAGGAUGAAAGAAGCAGCACCUGGGGUUCAAAACUCUCUGUAGUUAUGUGGUGGGCAGGAGGAAGAGCAGAGUUAAAGCUUUCAAAUCCUGAAUGGUCAGGCCCACCACAUGGGUAGUAUCUCCUUCCCUGCUGGAGCUUCAUGACCCUGAUGUAUGCAUUUCUGUGUGUGCCCAAGGGGCACUAAUUAAAGACAUCCAACUA